rnacentral:rRNA from 1 species
CAGUCGCCGCGGUAAUACGGAGGGUGCGAGCGUUAAUCGAAAUUACUGGGCGUAAAGCGUACGCAGGCGGUUUGUUAAGUCAGAUGUGAAAUCCCCGAGCUUAACUCGGGAACUGCAUUUGAAACUGGCAGGCUAGAGUCUCGUAGAGGGGGGUAGAAUUCCAGGUGUAGCGGUGAAAUGCGUAGAGAUCUGGAGGAAUACCGGUGGCGAAGGCGGCCCCCUGGACGAAGACUGACGCUCAGGUACGAAAGCGUGGGGAGCAAACAGGAUUAGAUACCCCGGUAGUCCCUGUCUCUUAUAC